rnacentral:tRNA from 1 species
AGUUUAAUAGUUUAAAAAAAAACAUUGAUUUUGUAAAUCAAAGAUAGAAACACCUUUAAAUUA